rnacentral:rRNA from 1 species
UACGUAGGGGGCGAGCGUUGUCCGGAUUCAUUGGGCGUAAAGCGCGCGUAGGCGGCCCCGCAAGUCGGCCGUGAAAUCUCCGGGCUCAACUCGGAGGGGUCGGGCGAGACUGCGGAGCUCGAGGUGGGCAGAGGGCAGUGGGAAUUCCGGGUGGUAGUGGUGGAAUGCGUAGAAAUCCGGAGGAACACCAGUGGCGAGGCGGCUGCCUGGGCCUGGCCUGACGCGAGGCGC